rnacentral:rRNA from 1 species
GCGAACGCUGGCGGCAGGCCUAACACAUGCAAGUCGAACGCAUCCUUCGGGAUGAGUGGCAGACGGGUGAGUAACACGUGGGAACGUACCUUUCGGUUCGGGAUAACUCAGGGAAACUUGAGCUAAUACCGUAUACGUCCGUAAGGAGAAAGAUUCAUCGCCCCUAGACGGGCCCGCGUCGGAUUAGGUAGUUGGUGGGGUAACGGCCUACCAAGCCUACGAUCCGUAGCUGAUCUGAGAGGAUGAUCAGCCACACUGGGACUGAGACACGGCCCAGACUCCUACGGGAGGCAGCAGUGGGGAAUCUUGGACAAUGGGCGCAAGCCUGAUCCAGCCAUGCCGCGUGAGUGAAGAAGGCCUUAGGGUUGUAAAGCUCUUUUACCAGGGACGAUAAUGACGGUACCUGGAGAAUAAGCCCCGGCAAACUUCGUGCCAGCCGCCGCGGUAAU